rnacentral:lncRNA from 1 species
CCUGAAACCCUAUAGCCCCUCUCUCUCCUUCCACGCCCAACCACAAGAGGGGACAGGCCCCUCUUACAUUAUCCAGGGGGUUGGCACCCCUUGGUCCUGCCAUAAAUGGAGGAAGGCACCAUCCAUCUUUCCAAUAGUUCCAUACUACACUAAGAGAUAAUGAGGAGAUAAUGAAAAGAUAAUGAGGAGAUAAUUUUGCCAACUCAUUGACUUAAUCCA